UGUUUUGUCGAUGAGGAUAUAUAAGCUCCCUCUUCUGAAAUUCAAAGUUGAGGACGAUUUGCUGGCAGAAUCGAACCAAUUUAACAAUUGCCACCACUGAGUCA